rnacentral:rRNA from 1 species
CUUUUGUAAUGAAAGCUUUUCUUCGGAACAUUGGAUACAGGUGGUGCAUGGUCGUCGUCAGCUCGUGUCGUGAGAUGUUGGGUUAAGUCCCGCAACGAGCGCAACCCUUGUUAUUAGUUGCCAGCAUUUAGUUGGGCACUCUAAUGAGACUGCCGGUGAUAAACCGGAGGAAGGUGGGGACGACGUCAGAUCAUCAUGCCCCUUAUGACCUGGGCAACACACGUGCUACAAUGGGAAGUACAACGAGUCGCAAACCGGCGACGGCAAGCUAAUCUCUUAAAACUUCUCUCAGUUCGGACUGGAGUCUGCAACUCGACUCCACGAAGGCGGAAUCGCUAGUAAUCGCGAAUCAGCAUGUCGCGGUGAAUACGUUCCCGGGUCUUGUACACACCGCCCGUCAAAUCAUGGGAGUCGGAAGUACCCAAAGUCGCUUGGCUAACUUUUAGAGGCCGGUGCCUAAGGUAAAAUCGAUGACUGGGAUUAAGUCGUAACAAGGUAGCCGUAGGAGAACCUGCGGCUGGAUCACCUCCUUUCUAAGGA